AAUACCACUCCACCGUCGUCCGCUUAAACGUGCCACCGGGCCCGUUCAUGGCCAACGACCCCCGGGUCAUUGCCGUCCUCGACGCCAACAGCUUUCCUAUUCUGUUCGACGUCUCCAAGGUGGAGAAGAAGGACGUCUUCACCGGUACCUACAUGCCCUCCACCUCCCUCACCGGCGGGUACCGCGUCUGCUCCUACCUCGACCCAUCCGAGCCCAACCACGCCAAGGUGAAGCAGCUCCUCUUUAACAUCCUUGCCUCCCGCAAGGACGCCGUCAUCCCGGCCUUCCGCACCAACUUCACCGCCUUGUUCGAGACGAUGGAGUCGCAGGU
rnacentral:lncRNA from 1 species